UGACCGCUGAUCUAGAGGAUUCUCAUGUGGGCUGUAUUUGAGAACCAGUGGCUGAUGGUACCAAAUGCUUAUUUAAAAGAGUACGCUGGUAUUUUAGGUAUCCUUUUAGGCUGUUAACACCUAGGAGCCACCCUUUUAGACUACAGUCAUGCAGGGAUUGAGAAGGGAAAUGAGGGACUAUAGAACUUGGGAAUCUAUCUAGUGUACCUCUUGGUAUGAUUCUAGUAGGUUGGGAACAUGACACUAAACGGAGGGGCCUGUGCCAUUUUGCAGACUCUCACUCUGGUUGGUGCACUUGAACCAUGAGUUACAGUGAAGACUGAAGUGAGAAAUGAGGCUGGUUCAGCAUAGGUCUGAACCAUUACAGCACAACUUGGAGCUGCUGGUGGUCGGCAUUAUCAUCAAGAACAGCAAGACUUUGGCCAGAUAUUCCAUUGGUCUGGGGAUGCUGUGGACAUGGCUUCAGUUAAACCAACUUCCUUUAGUUUGGAACUGGUUUCCCCCAACCUCUUACUUAUGAAGAGCUAAGAAGCCACAGGAGAUCGAGAUUAUAAAUUCCUAACCUGGGUUGUUAGAAGAGGCGGUGAUCUCAGUCUAGGACUUGAGAAAGAAUCCUCUUGUGGCCUCCUUGUAGGUAGAGGCCACACCCCUCAACAGAACAUAACAGAAAGAAGCUGUUUAUUUAAAUAAUUAGGAGUUUUUAUGUUAAUAGGUACCAAAUGGCAAUGUUUUAAAAAUAAAACAUUUUCUUUCUUUCAUUGCAGCAGAGUCUCACUAGGCAUGCAGUUGUGCAUGACCCUGACAAAAAGAAAAUGAAGCUCAAAGUAAAACAAGCUCGUGGAAAACGGAGUUUGUCCUCCCGUCUCAGUGGAUACAUUCCUCCUAAAGGGAAACAAGAACACGGCUUAUCUUUGCCUAAAACUGGAGAAUUGCUGAAUUGCACUGAGGACAAAGUGCUCUCGACAGUUGCGGUACUUACCCUCAGCUAAACAUCCAGUUGUUCUCCACAGACCAGCCAGCUCAGUUACAGGCAGACCUUACUGGUGGUUCCAGACCACUGCAAUAAAACAUGUAGUGCAAUAAAGCGAGUUGAAAUGCCUUUGCUUGUGGAGGGUCUUGCCUUUGAUUUUGGGGGGGAAAAUGCAACAUCUGUAAAACACCGUAAAGUGAAGCACAAUAAAACGAGGUAUUCCUGUA